rnacentral:SRP_RNA from 2 species
CGUCAGGGGCCGUGGAUUGCGAGCUCGCGAAUCCCGCCAGGUCCUGACGGAAGCAACGGCAGUGUGCCUCACCUUGCCGCGGUUCCCUGACACCC